GACGACUUUAACUUUGCUAACCUCUUACCUGGCAGAAAUGUAGUUGUAUUUCCUGAAUGUCAGUGUUGUGCUUUAGUAGUUACUUGUUUUCUACAAGGUGGCUGAAAGUAUGCAUUAAAAAUGGGUGAAAGUCCAUAUUUCUAAUACGUUUACUGAAACAAAUUGUACAUGUACUUUACAUAAGAAAAUGAAAUCAAGUCUUUAUAUUUCAACAUGGGCACCAGUAGCGUCAACCAAUUUCCUCAAAUGGGCAGGAUUGGAAUGCAGGAAGUUGUUUAGGAUAAUGUUCAACCUCCUGAAGCCAUGCCUCCAAGUCCUCAAGUGUGUCCUUCAGCAUUUUCCUAAGAUGUUGGCAGGGACAAUGCAGACCUCAUGAAAGCUUUGCACAUCUUGUACAGGUUGCAGGAAGCUUAGAGCAUGAACUUGGGCAUGGGCAUACACCCAGAAUGGGGUGCCAAUCUAUUGCAGGAUGCAAACAAACACACCAACACACAAUAUGACAAUUUGGAAAUACCAAUUAGCCUAAUCUACGUACAUGACUUUGGAUUGUGGAGAACACUGGAAGACCCUAAGGAGACCUAACCAUCACGGGGAAAACACAUGCACACCAGAGGUGCUACACAUGUCGUUCCUGAGCUGCCAGUGAUCCAGACUCCCUCUGCCCUCAGGACCUAUCUGACCCAUCUUGGUACCCCGUUUCUAGUUGGAGAUCUCGUCACAUGGAUGCCCUGUGUGUUUCUCUGGGAUGCGUCUGGUGUCUGGGGACGGUUUCACUCUACCAUAAAGACAGUUCUGGCCUCAACUGGUGUUGACAGCUGUUUCUCUGAGGACUUGACUUGGCUGUGGUUGCUCAAUAGUUCAAGAUUGCAAUUGUCUCCAAUAACUACCUGGACUCCAUAUUUACAUCAAUUAACAUCAACUAUUAUAGCUGAACUGGCUGCCAUCUAACACACUGUAUAAAUGCAGAUCAAUUUCUUCUCUCUGUUCACCUAAAUGAGGAUGGGUUCCCUGUUGAGUCUGGUUCCUCUCAAGGUUUCUUCCUAUUACCAUCUCGGAGUUUUUCCUUGCCACUGUCGCCCUCGGCUUGCUCACCAGGGACGAUCUGAUAAUUUUGAUUCAUACACACUUACAUUCCAUACAGACUUAAAUAAUAAUUUUGAUUGUGUUAAGCUGCAUUGCUACAAUGACAAUUGUUAAAAGCAAUAUACAAAUAAAAUUUUAUUAAAUUGAA